rnacentral:lncRNA from 1 species
GAAAAAUCGUUUAAGAGAAGGAAAAAAAAAAUGUCGAUAAAUUUCUACUUACAAUUUAACCCGGUAGUCGAUUUGGGUCCUUCCGGAUAUUUAUACAUAUAUUUUGUUUCCCGAAUCUGGGUAGCGCUCGAUAGUGGUCGAUGGCGUAAACGAAUCCGCUUCUGGGCCGAGGAAACCGGCGGAAGCGUCCCUCCUGGGUUCCCGCAACUUCCGCUUAACCCAGAGUAUACCUAUCCGGAAAAUCUCGACUUAAAAUGCCACUUACGGGAGGGAAGAAAAAAAGGCUUCCGGUGAUUCUUCACCGAAAGGAUUUUGUCAAAAAUAUAUCCGCCAGCGGAUAAGGCCACCCCAGGAAUUUCUCGCCUAAAAUCCCGGAAGGCGGUGACUAUUUUACUCCGUCCACCGACUAUAUUUUAGAGGAAGCCAUUUACGUAUUAAGUAUACUGGUAUGGAAGAAAGGAAGAGGAAGGAGAGCGGC